GUGGAUGAUGGAGGGUGGGAUGAGGGGAGGGGGGGGGGGGGUCGUAGAGGAGAUGGUCAGCGUGAUUUGUGACUUGUAGCCGCGUGCAAUGCGGUUCUCCAAAGGACCCAUCCUGCGAGAGAGUGAAAGCGAGGGAGGCCCGCGCCACCAAACCUUAACACGCCCUUUGACCUGUGUGAUGUAUGUGAUGUGAUGCCACCGAGUGAGACGUGGCAAGCGUGGUUUGUUUUUGUUGGACGAAGCGGAUAAUUGGGAUGUUUUUCAUGAGACCCGGACCAUACUCCUCUGUGAGCCAGAGUCGAUCCACUAACUACAUUUGGCUCACUCCCUUCUCCUCUCCGGGCGGUGUGUUGAUGUGUACUUAGCUUCACGGAUCACUUCCUGUCCAAGAUGGCCCCCGGGACUAGACGCAACACAGACGAGCAGAAGGAGAGUCCUCUUAUAAGAUGACACUGAACGUGCACGUAUGAGCGCGCACGUAUGAGUGCCCACGUAUGAGCAUGCACGUAUGAGCGUGCACGUAUGAGCGCGUACGUAUGAGUGUGCACGUAUGAGCAUGCAUGUAUGAGCAUGCACCUAUGAGUGUGCACGUAUGAGCACGCCAAUCACUUAUGAGCGCGCAAGUAUAAAUGCACACGUAUGAGCAUGCAUGUAAGAGGAUGCACGUAUGAGCACGCACAUGCUUGCAGACAUGUGGGCACAUGUUUGGCUGACAGCAUUUACAUGUGGACGUGGAAUAGGAACAUCCAUAUGCAUACAAGUUGUUCUGGUAUAUACACACACAAAUCCAUACAUAUGGGCACACAGACACAUGCAAGAACGCAAACACAGUGCACAUAUUAAGGUAUAUAUACACGGUAAAAUCCCCCCCCACACACACAAUAAAUAAUGUACACACAUUGAAGUAUGUACAGAUCAGAAAUCACAUUAUAACAUUUUAUCCCUCAACAAAACAUUAAAACACACAAUGUACAUGACACACAAGCGAAAAUUAGAACAUACUUUCACACACACACACACACACACACACACACACACACACACACACACACACACACACACACACACACACACGCCAAACACACACACGCCAAACACACACACACACACACACACACACACACACACACACGCCAAACACACACACACACACACACACACACACACACACACACACACACACACACACACACACACACACACACACACACACGUUGAUACACAUUCAAAAUAAACAAACA